ACACUGAAUGACCCUCUAAUUGAUCUCUGGGGUCACAACAAGACCUGACAACGGGACUCACCAGGCACAAGAACAUGAUGGAGAAGUCUGAAAAGAGAAAAUGGAGAGGAAUCGGGGAGAAAAUCAGCUGAAUUCAUUUUCACUCCCAUAAUGAAAAGAAAUCUGGUUCAGCCUGGAGGAUUACAGAAUAGGACAAGACCAAGGUGACCCCAGCUGCAGUCCACUUCAGAUGAGAAAAAAGCAAAACAAAAAACAACAACAAAAAAACUAUUCAGAAAAAGAGAAGCAUGGCUCAGUGCACACCCCUGGCCCCGCUCCCCGAGUCUUUGGUACCAUCUAAUGCACAGCAGAGCAGCUUUACAUCCCUCACCCCGAC